rnacentral:rRNA from 1 species
AUUGAACGCUGGCGGAAUGCUUACACAUGCAAGUCGAACGGUAGAGGGGGCAGCCCCUCGAGAGUGGCGAACGGGUGAGUAAUAUAUCGGAACGUGCCCAGUCGUGGGGGAUAACGUAGCGAAAGUUACGCUAAUACCGCAUACGAUCUAAGGAUGAAAGCGGGGGAUCGCAAGACCUCGCGCGAUUGGAGCGGCCGAUAUCAGAUUAGGUAGUUGGUGGGGUAAAGGCUCACCAAGCCAACGAUCUGUAGCUGGUCUGAGAGGACGACCAGCCACACUGGAACUGAGACACGGUCCAGACUCCUACGGGAGGCAGCAGUGGGGAAUUUUGGACAAUGGACGCAAGUCUGAUCCAGCCAUUCCGCGUGCAGGAUGAAGGCCCUCGGGUUGUAAACUGCUUUUGUACGGAACGAAAAGGUCUCUCUUAAUACGGGGGACUCAUGACGGUACCGUAAGAAUAAGGACCUGCAAAACUCGUGCCAGCCGCCGCAGUAA